ensembl:lncRNA
GCUGAGCAUACAUCGGGCCUUGGAGAGUCUGUGGCAUCGAAGAGGAGCGGUCCAGAAAGAGUCAGCUGGAGACCUUGUUACUACUGGCCCUAUCCCAGACCCCCUGGGUUAGAAGCUCGGGGAGGAGCCUGGGAGUCUGCAUUGAAACUUGCUUCCUGUGUGGUUCUUAUGGAGAACUGGUUGACUUCAUUUAUAGGAUCCAGGGCAAAAUAAAAAUAUGGAGUCUCUUAUUCAGAAAUUACUAAGAAUGUGAAGACAGAAAUAGCAGAACAUUAAACCAAGCGCCAGCCCUGUGUGACUGCACAGGUCAUGCCCAUGGGGCUACCCCUCUUCUUAUGCCCUCUAUAUUUGGACAGUCACCACUGUCGUCCCUGAAUCUGUUCGAUGUGUCCUGAAUACUAGCUACGUAAUAAGAUGUGGUGGUUAAAAGCGUGGCCGUGGAAGUGAGGUGGUCUUUGAACAGAAUUGGACUCUCUUGAGUUAUGUGCUUUUGGACAUAUUUCUAAUCUCUGUGAAUCUCAUUUACUUCCUCUUUAAAUAUUGGGAUAGUUUCUAUCUCAAAGAUUGGCUUUGAGAAUAUAAAAUAAUUUCUGUCACAUGGCAGUGCUGCCUAAAUAUAGCUCUCGGCCUGGCGUGGUGGCUUACACCUGUGAUCCCAGCACUUUGGGAGGCCAAGGUGGGUGCAUCACCUGAGGUCAGGAGUUCAAGACCAUCCUGGCCAACAUGAUGAAGCCCCAUCUCUACUAAAAAUACACACACACACACACACACACACACACACACACACUAGCUGGGUGCGGCAGCGGGCACCUGUAGUCCCAGCUACUUGGGAGGCUGAGGCAGGAGAAUCACUUGAACCUGGGAGGUGGAGGUUGCAGUGAGCUGAGAUUGCACCACUGCACUCCAGCCUAGGCAACAGAGUGAGACUGUAUUACACACACACACACACACACACACACACACACACACACACACACACAGUAGCUCUCACUGUAUCCCGGGCUCAGUGUUAGGAUGCCAGGCUAUGAAGAUGAUGGAGAUGAAGAAGAUUACGGCCUUUGUUCUGGAGGACUGAGAUUCUUGUGGAAGGAAACAGCCCUGAGACCCAGAGAUGGCCCUCCAUGGAUGGCGGUACCCCUCCAGCAGGGGAUGUGGGGCAGUUAGGAGGAAUAGUUAAGUCUGGUGUCAGGGAAGGUGUCUCAGAGAGGGUGAAGGCAGAGUUGGAAGGAAGAAGCUGAGAUUGGGGAGAGGAGCGGGAGGACGUGUGUGCAUCACACAUGCAUGUGUGUGCAGGUGUGGGUGUUGGGGGCUGGGGUUCAGACAGAGGGAGCAGCAUGCACAGAGACUUUAUCUUAUUUUCAUGUCUGUAUUUAUUUAUUUUUAGAGACAGGGUCUUACUCUGUUGCCCAGGCUAGAGUGCAGUGGCAUGAUCAUAGCCCACUCCAGCUUUGAGCUCCUGGGCUUAAGCGAUCCUCCUACCUAUCUCAUCCUCCCAAGUAGCUAGGACUAUAGGUAUGCACCACCAUGCCUGGCUAAUUUUUAUUUUGUAGAGACAGGGGGUCUCACUAUGUUGCCCAGGCUGGUCUCGAACUCCUGGGUUCAAGUGAUCCUCCCACUUUGGCCUCCUAAAAUGCUGGGAUUACAGGAGUGUACCACCAUGCCUGGCCUGCAAAACCUU